AUCGGCGGUGCAGGAGGCUUAACACAUGCAGUCGAACGAGAAAGUACUUCGGUACGAGUAGAGUGGCGACGGGUGAGUAACACGUAGGUGACCUGUCCUUAAGCGGGGGAUAACCAGAAGAAAUUCUGGCUAAUACCGCGUACCGCAAAGCAAAUUUGAAAGUAGCUUUGGAAAGGGUGCUUCGGACUUCGCUUUAGGAGGGGCCUGCGGGACAUUAGCUUGAUGGUGGGGUAACGGCCUACCAUGGCGACGAUGUCUAGCUGGUUUGAGAGAAUGAUCAGCCACACUGGAACUGAGACACGGUCCAGACUCCUACGGGAGGCAGCAGUGGGGAAUAUUGCGCAAUGGAGGAAACUCUGACGCAGCCAUGCCGCGUGAGUGAGGAAGGCCCUCGGGUCGUAAAGCUCUGUCAUUAGGGACAAACGGCCAUUGGUCUAAUAGGCCUUUGGUUUGAUGGUACCUAAAAAGGAAGCACCGGCUAACUUCGUGCCAGCAGCCGCGGUAAUACGAAGGGUGCAAGCGUUGUUCGGAUUUACUGGGCGUAAAGCGCGUGUAGGCGGAUUAAUAAGUCAGAUGUGAAAUCUCGGGGCUCAACUCCGAAACUGCGUCUGAAACUGUUGAUCUAGAGUCUUGGAGGGGGAAGUGGAAUUUCACGUGUAGGGGUAAAAUCCGUAGAGAUGUGAAGGAACACCAGAGGCGAAGGCGACUUCCUGGCCAAGUACUGACGCUGAGACGCGAAAGCGUGGGGGAGCAAACAGGAUUAGAUACCCUGGUAGUCCACCCCGUAAACGAUGAGCACUAGAUAUGGGGGGAUUGACCCCUUCCGUUGUCGUAGCUAACGCAUUAAGUGCUCCGCUUGGGGAGUACGGUCCGCAAGACUAAAACUCAAAUGAAUUGACGG
rnacentral:rRNA from 1 species